rnacentral:tRNA from 2 species
GAUUCGUUAGCUCAGCUGGUAGAGCAUUUGCCUUUUAAGCAAAGGGUCCCGGGUUCGAGCCCCGGACGAGUCACUA